rnacentral:lncRNA from 1 species
CAGAGAGGAAUGACGCAGCGGAAAUAUUGAAUAACCUUUUGACCGUGAGAAAUUGGAAGAAAACGGGGUAAAUCUGAGAAGGAGCUCAGAGAACCUAAACCUAGACAACCGGAACCCUAGAAAGGGGGAGAAUCGCAAAUUGAACCGAUUAAUCGGUUCAAAUCCAAGGUUAAAUGGUGGAAAAAGUAGAUCGAGGGUUGGAGAGGUGUUUGAUCGGUGGAAAAUGAUAAAUGAUCUGAGUAGAGGUUUUCAAUCGGUCCAAACGUGAUAUCAAUCGGUAAAAAUGAAGAAGUGAUGAAUAGGAUAUGGAA